rnacentral:rRNA from 1 species
GACGAACGCUGGCGGCGUGCCUAACACAUGCAAGUCGAGCGGAGAUUAUAGCAAUGUAAUCUUAGCGGCGGACGGGUGAGUAACGCGUGGGCAACCUGCCUCUAACUGGGGGAUAACACAGGGAAACUUGUGCUAAUACCGCAUAACAUCAUGAAAUGACAUCAUUUUAUGAUCAAAGGAGCAAUCCGGUGAGAGAUGGGCCCGCGUCCAAUUAGCUAGUUGGUGAUGUAACGGACCACCAAGGCGACGAUUGGUAGCCGAACUGAGAGGUUGAUCGGCCACAUUGGGACUGAGACACGGCCCAGACUCCUACGGGAGGCAGCAGUGAGGAAUAUUGGUCAAUGGGCGGAAGCCUGAACCAGCCAUGCCGCGUGCAGGAUGACGGCCCUACGGGUUGUAAACUGCUUUUCCCGGGGCGAAUAACCCCUCGCGAGGGGAGUGCGGUACCGGGGAAGUAAGGAUCGGCUAACUCCGUGCCAGCAGCCGCGGUAAACAUAC